rnacentral:rRNA from 1 species
UACGUAGGGGGCAAGCGUUAUCCGGAUUCACUGGGUGUAAAGGGAGCGUAGACGGCCAUGCAAGCCUGGAGUGAAAGCCCGGGGCCCAAUCCCGGGACUGCUCUGGGAACUGUGCGGCUGGAGUGCGGGAGGGGCAGGCGGAAUUCCUGGUGUAGCGGUGAAAUGCGUAGAUAUCAGGAGGAACACCGGCGGCGAAGGCGGCCUGCUGGACCGCGACUGACGUUGAGGCUCGAAAGCGUGGGGAGCAAACAGG